CUACGGGCGGCAGCAGUGGGGAAUAUUGCACAAUGGGCGCAAGCCUGAUGCAGCCAUGCCGCGUGUAUGAAGAAGGCCUUCGGGUUGUAAAGUACUUUCAGCGGGGAGGAAGGGAGUAAAGUUAAUACCUUUGCUCAUUGACGUUACCCGCAGAAGAAGCACCGGCUAACUCCGUGCCAGCAGCCGCGGUAAUACGGAGGGUGCAAGCGUUAAUCGGAAUUACUGGGCGUAAAGCGCAUGCAGGCGGUUUGUUAAGUCAGAUGUGAAAUCCCCGGGCUCAACCUGGGAACUGCAUCUGAUACUGGCAAGCUUGAGUCUCGUAGAGGGGGGUAGAAUUCCAGGUGUAGCGGUGACAUGCGUAGAGAUCUGGAGGAAUACCGGUGGCGAAGGCGGCCCCCUGGACGAAGACUGACGCUCAGGUGCGAAAGCGUGGGGAGCAAACAGGAUUAGAUACCCCAGUAGUC
rnacentral:rRNA from 1 species